rnacentral:rRNA from 1 species
CUGGCUCAGGACGAACGCUGGCGGCGUGCUUAACACAUGCAAGUCGAACGAUGAACCACUUCGGUGGGGAUUAGUGGCGAACGGGUGAGUAACACGUGGGCAAUCUGCCCUUCACUCUGGGACAAGCCCUGGAAACGGGGUCUAAUACCGGAUAACACCGGCUUCCGCAUGGAAGCUGGUUGAAAGCUCCGGCGGUGAAGGAUGAGCCCGCGGCCUAUCAGCUUGUUGGUGGGGUAAUGGCCCACCAAGGCGACGACGGGUAGCCGGCCUGAGAGGGCGACCGGCCACACUGGGACUGAGACACGGCCCAGACUCCUACGGGAGGCAGCAGUGGGGAAUAUUGCACAAUGGGCGAAAGCCUGAUGCAGCGACGCCGCGUGAGGGAUGACGGCCUUCGGGUUGUAAACCUCUUUCAGCAGGGAAGAAGCGAAAGUGACGGUACCUGCAGAAGAAGCGCCGGCUAACUACGUGCCAGCAG